CUCUUCGUGACACAGGACUUCUUAUUCAUGCUCUGGAUUCUUCUCCUACAUUCCAGUUCCUGCACGACCUUUCGCCUACCUGCCCAGUAUAAUCUUCCUCCUGGCUCAGGAAUAUACAUGUAUCUGUGGCGUCAAUACACCUUUACUUUCGCCGGGCGAAUCAUGUGUGGCGGGACACCUAGACGGCCUUGUAACAUACUGCCCGCAACAGAAGAUGGUGAUUAGACUGAAGUGACAGUUGCUAGUCCCUAGACAGUCCAGAGAUCCAACGUCUGUAACAGCUCAGGAGGUGCCCUGCUCUGCCUUGAAUCUUCCGGGACAUGGAGCAGAGAGAGUAGGAAGCAUAUUCAAAACAACCUUCUCUUGACAUCCUUCAUCUAUCACAGCGAUGUUUAGGUCAUUGACUUCUUCACAAUCAUUAUCUUUCUUGUUUGAAAACCAUCUGUUUGUACAAUUUUAUAAUACAUCCUCCAACAAAAUGUUAAGACUGGGAGUAUACUACAAGUAUUCAUAUUUAGUACUGGUGGACAGUAACCAGAUGGUAAGAAUUAGUAGAGUCAUGCUAGUGCGAACCUAAAGUUCCAUCUUUAUAAGUUAUGUCCCAGAUGGUUAUUGGUUGAAGUCAGCCUCAAAAAGGGCCUUCAUUUGGAUGGAGGACGGGCCUGUACUUUGUUGCAUCCUCCUGCUUAGUGCAUGUGAAUUAUUUUUGGGUUUACCACUUAACUUUUUUGUGACAUAACCAAGGACCAAAUCUGGAUUUCAGAAGGGAGGUGACAACUGGCUCGGGUACGCAGCAUGUGACUUGAAAGGGGAGUGGU